rnacentral:rRNA from 1 species
CCAGUAGCGUAUAUUAAAGUUGUUGCAGUUAAAAAGCUCGUAGUUGAAUUUCGGGGUCAGCAGGUCGGUCGUGCCACCGGUAUGUACUGGCCUUGCUGAUUCCUCCCUCUUGUAGAACCGUAAUGCCAUUAAGUUGGUGUUGCGGGGACACAGGACUGUUACUUUGAAAAAAUUAGAGUGUUUAAAGCAGGCUAACGCUUGAAUACAUUAGCAUGGAAUAAUGAAAUAGGACGAUCGAUCCUAUUUUGUUGGUUUCUAGGAUUGACGUAAUGAUUAAUAGGGAUAGUUGGGGGCAUUAGUAUUCAAUUGUCAGAGGUGAAAUUCGUGGAUUUAUUGAAGACUGACUACUGCGAAAGCAUUUGCCAAGGAUGUUUUCAUUAAUCAAGAACGAAAGUUAGGGGAUCGAAGACGAUCAGAUACCGUCGUAGUCUUAACCAUAAACUAUGCCGACUAGGGAUCGGAUGAUGUUAAUUUUUUAAUGACUCAUUCGGCGCCUUACG